rnacentral:rRNA from 1 species
UACGGGGGGGGCAAGCGUUGUUCGGAAUUACUGGGCGUAAAGGGCUCGUAGGCGGCCAACUAAGUCAGACGUGAAAUCCCUCGGCUUAACCGGGGAACUGCGUCUGAUACUGGAUGGCUUGAGUGUGGGAGAGGUGAGUGGAAUUCCCAGUGUAGCGGUGAAAUGCGUAGAUAUUGGGAGGAACACCAGUGGCGAAGGCGGCUCACUGGACCGGAACUGACGCUGAGGCGCGAAAGCGUGGGGAUCAAACAGG